rnacentral:lncRNA from 1 species
GAUGGAGAGCAGCAGCGGGGGGAUCCCCCUUUGGCACGGCCACCCACCGCUACGGGACUGCAACAAGAAGCUGCACCCUGCCGUGGUCAGCAUGGCUCUGUGUGCCAGCUGUGUGCUGCUGGGAAUCACCCGGGCGCUUACGGGUGGGAGAGUGGAAAUCAUCCAACAUCUGCAGGGAUAGCACAAGGCAGGCUCAGUGUGACAGCUGUGUCAUUGUGCAGCAGACAGAUGCUGAGCAGAGCACAGCAGGGCCAGG